UACAGAGGUCUCAAGCGUUGUUCGGAUUCAUUGGGCGUAAAGGGCGCGUAGGCGGCGGGGUAAGUCGGGUGUGAAAUCUCGGAGCUUAACUCCGAAACUGCAUUCGAUACUGCCGUGCUUGAGGACUGGAGAGGAGACUGGAAUUUACGGUGUAGCGGUGAAAUGCGUAGAUAUCGUAAGGAAGACCAGUGGCGAAGGCGGGUCUCUGGACAGUUCCUGACGCUGAGGCACGAAGGCCAGGGGAGCAAACGGG
rnacentral:rRNA from 1 species